GGGCUUCGGGUGCGGGUCUUUGGGCCACCUCCCAUCCGUGUCUAUUGUACCCUGUUGCUUCGGCGGGCCCGCCGCUUGUCGGCCGCCGGGGGGGCGCCUCUGCCCCCCGGGCCCGUGCCCGCCGGAGACCCCAACACGAACACUGUCUGAAAGCGUGCAGUCUGAGUUGAUUGAAUGCAAUCAGUUAAAACUUUCAACAAUGGAUCUCUUGGUUCCGGCAUCGAUGAAAAACGCAGCGAAAUGCGAUAACUAAUGUGAAUUGCAGAAUUCAGUGAAUCAUCGAGUCUUUGAACGCACAUUGCGCCCCCUGGUAUUCCGGGGGGCAUGCCUGUCCGAGCGUCAUUGCUGCCCUCAAGCCCGGCUUGUGUGUUGGGUCGCCGUCCCCCUCUCCGGGGGAACGGGCCCGAAAGGCAGCCGCGGCACCGCGUCCGAUCCUCGAGCGUAUGGGGCUUUGUCACAUGCUCUGUAGGAUUGGCCGGCGCCUGCCGACGUUUUCCAACCAUUCUUUCCAGGUUGACCUCGGAUCAGGUAGGGAUACCCGCUGAACUUAAGCAUAUCAAUAAGCGGAGGAAAUUCCGAGUGCGGGUCCUUUGGGCCCACCUCAUCUUAUCUAUUGUACCCUGAUUGCUUCGCGGCCGCACUUGUUAGCGCGGGAGAGGCCCUCUGCCCCCGGGCCUGCCCCCCGAAACCAAAACAAAAAUGUUUUAAACCUGCAUCGAAUUU
rnacentral:rRNA from 1 species